CAUCCACCUACACAGUUACUAUGAAUCAGGGUAAGAUAUACCUUUUCCUAAUCUCCAAAAACAAUCAUUCGUUACAAUAAUGUUCAAACCAAAUGAACCAAAAAUCAAUGCGAUAAAAAAUUUUAAUUUUUUGGUUGCAAUGAAUGGAACUCAAACACAAGAGACAGAGACCUCAUAGCACCAGCAACUAGCAACAUUCCUUAUUGUAUAGCCUUCACAACCCAAAACCAUUAGCGAAGAAUUGAAAGAUCUCAAGAACAAUAGGAAAUCUGCACGGCCUUUCACAGACAAGCUGAAGCUCUCUACCUAUCAUCAGCCGCGGAUCCAGCACCCGGCAAGGGGGCAUGGCCAGCCGUGCUAGAUCCACCAGUAGUUGCACUUGCCACCAGGCACCGAGGGAGAAGUUUUUGCAGCUGCAGAGAAGUCGCCAAAUCGGAAGUCAAAACCAUGGAGGCGGUGAGUUUAGGAAAAAG
rnacentral:lncRNA from 1 species